AGCAAAAUGAAUGGGACGUCAAGUGGAUGGUGGUUUUGCUCCUUCAUGCAUAUUCAACACCUAAUUCACCUGCUACGCCUAUACAAGGAUGGAUGAUUUAACUUCAGAUAGUUCUGAUUUAUUAAGACUCAGUCCAGUUCUGCAGACCUUACUCCAGCUGAGUAAUGCUCAUUUCCGCCACUAUUCCACUGGUUUUAAUGAGAUUACUGGUGGGGUAAGGGACUAUUCGAUGUGAGUAAAAUUGGCAGAAUCAGGGUCAGAUUAAGGCAAUCCCCAGACUCACCACAACAUGGGCUCCCUUUAGUCUGAUCCCUGCCAUAGCCUUGAUCUCCACACCAUCGCACCAGAUGGGAUGCUAGCAGCCAGGGGCAUCCACAAAUGCAAUCUUCUGGGUGGUGGGGGUCUGCCACCAUUUCCUUUUGGGUAGUCUGGGCCACAACUGGUCUCCUCCCUACUCCUUGUCUCCUGGUGAUCUUGGGUCCAUCCAGGAGAAGAAAGGACGCAUCCUCCUCCUACCCGAGUGCCGGACUCCCUAUAUACUCAGCACCACCCAAACAAAACCAGGAAUGGAUGGCAGCAGAAAGAGACCUCUACCGCGAUGGCAGGGUGGUGUAGGUGUGCUCCUCCUAAUCAACCCAUAUGCAGGAACCCCAGCUCCAAGGAGGAAAUAACUCUCCCAGCCAUUCCUAUGCCAAGGGGUGAGGCAAUGGCCCUGACCCUGCAAUCCAAUCUACAUGCACCAUCUUUUUGCCUAGGCAGAGCCCUCUUCAAUGAGAUUCUGCCCAGGUGCAAGGAUCCAUUCAAGUGUGUCAAAGUGCAGAUUGUAUAAUCCUAGUUUUUGUACUAACUCAUCCACUGCAAUUGAUCUAAUACACACAAUACUUUAAAUGUU